UACAGAGGGGGCAAGCGUUGUUCGGAAUUACUGGGCGUAAAGGGCGCGUAGGCGGCCUUCUAAGUCGAACGUGAAAUCCCUCGGCUCAACCGAGGAACUGCGUCCGAUACUGGCAGGCUGGAAUCCGGGAGAGGGAUGUGGAAUUCCAGGUGUAGCGGUGAAAUGCGUAGAUAUCUGGAGGAACACCGGUGGCGAAGGCGGCAUCCUGGACCGGUAUUGACGCUGAGGCGCGAAAAGCCUGAGGGGAGCAAACGGGG
rnacentral:rRNA from 1 species